rnacentral:rRNA from 1 species
AGUCGCCGGCUCUAGACCCGAAGCGAAGUGAUCUAUCCAUGGGCAGUGUGAAGCGCGGGUAAGACCGUGUGGAGGCGCGAACCCACUUCAGUUGAAAAUGGAGGGGAUGACCUGUGGAUAGGGGUGAAAGGCCAAUCAAACUUCGUGAUAGCUGGUUCUCCCCGAAAUGCAUUUAGGUGCAGCGUUGCGUGUUUCGUGCUGGAGGUAGAGCACUGGAUAGGCGAUGGGCCCCACCGGGUUACUGACCUUAGCCAAACUCCGAAUGCCGGUACGUGAGAGCGUAGCAGUGAGACUGUGGGGGAUAAGCUUCAUGGUCGAGAGGGAAACAGCCCAGAACAUCAGCUAAGGCCCCUAAGCGUGUGCUAAGUGGGAAAGGAUGUGGAGUUGCUGAGACAACCAGGAGGUUGGCUUAGAAGCAGCCACCCUUGAAAGAGUGCGUAAUAGCUCACUGGUCAAGUGAUUCUGCGCCGAUAAUGUAGCGGGGCUCAAGUACACCGCCGAAGCUGUGUCACUCCAUUUUGUGUGGGGUGGGUAGGGGAGCGUCGUGUGGCCGGUGAAGCUGCGGGGGAACCCAGUGGUGGAGGCUAUGCGAGUGAGAAUGCAGGCAUGAGUAGCGAAAGACGGGUGAGAAACCCGUCCUCCGAAUGAUCAAGGGUUCCGGGGCUAGGUUAAUCCGCCCCGGGUUAGUCGGGACCUAAGGCGAGGCCGACAGGCGUAGUCGAUGGAUAACGGGUUGAUAUUCCCGUACCGAUAGUGUGAGGACCCAUACCGAGGCGUGUGAUGCUAACCACCCGAGCUGCUGCUUCCUUCCCUUUGGGUUGGUUGUUGGUGGUGAGGCUGGGAACCAAGUGCGUAGUAGGUCAGCGUGUGGGAUGACGCAGUGAGGUAGCUUCCGCGGGGUAAUGGUUGUCCCCGUUCAAGCGAGCAGCCCGAGUGCGAGUAAUGUUGUGCUCUUGUGGGUGAGUCGUGAUGAGGACCCUUUAUUGGGGUAGGUGGGUGAUCCUGGACUGCCGAGAAAAGUUCCGGCGUGACGAGCACUAUUGCCCGUACCCUAAACCGACUCAGGUGAUCAGGUAGAGAAUACUAAGGAGUUCGAGAGAAUCGUGGUUAAGGAACUCGGCAAAAUGCCCCCGUAACUUCGGGAGAAGGGGGGCCUGAGGUGUGAGAGCACUGAUGGCCGCAGAGACCAGGGAGAAGCGACUGUUUACUAAAAACACAGGUCCGUGCGAAGACGUAAGUCGCUGUAUACGGACUGACGCCUGCCCGGUGCUGGAAGGUUAAGAGGACUGGUUAGCCCCUUGUGGGCGAAGCUGAGAAUUUAAGCCCCAGUAAACGGCGGUGGUAACUAUAACCAUCCUAAGGUAGCGAAAUUCCUUGUCGGGUAAGUUCCGACCUGCACGAAUGGCGUAACGACUUCUCCACUGUCUCAACCGCGAACUCGGCGAAAUUGCAUUACGAGUAAAGAUGCUCGUUACGCGCAGCAGGACGGAAAGACCCCGGGACCUUUACUAUAGUUUGGUAUUGGUGUUCGGAACGGCUUGUGUAGGAUAGGUGGGAGACUGAGAAGCUGGCACGCUAGUGUUGGUGGAGUCGUUGGUGAAAUACCACUCUGGUCGUUUUGGAUUCCUCACUUCGAACCAUGAUCUGGUUCAGGGACAGUGCCUGAUGGGUAGUUUAACUGGGGCGGUUGCCUCCUAAAGAGUAACGGAGGCGCUCAAAGGUUCCCUCAGCCUGGUUGGCAAUCAGGUGUUGAGUGUAAGUGCACAAGGGAGCUUGACUGCGAGACAGACAUGUCGGGCAGGAGCGAAAGCUGGAACUAGUGACCCGGCACCUCAUUGUGGAAUGGGUGUCGCUCAACGGAUAAAAGGUACCCCGGGGAUAACAGGCUGAUCUUGCCCAAGAGCUCAUAUCGACGGCAUGGUUUGGCACCUCGAUGUCGGCUCGUCGCAUCCUGGGGCUGGAGUUGGUCCCAAGGGUUAGGCUGUUCGCCUAUUAAAGCGGUACGCGAGCUGGGUUUAGAACGUCGUGAGACAGUUCGGUCCCUAUCCGCUGCGCGCGUUGGAUAUUUGAGAAGGCCUGUCCCUAGUACGAGAGGACCGGGAUGGACUAACCUCUGGUGUGCCAGUUGUUCUGCCAAGGGCAUGGCUGGUUGGCUACGUUGGGAAGGGAUAACCGCUGAAAGCAUCUAAGCGGGAAGCCUGCUUCGAGAUGAGAUAUCCGUACAUUUUUUGUGUGGGAGGUCCCCUGUAGAUGACGGGGUUGAUAGGCCAGAUGUGGAAGCGCGGUAACGUGUGGAGCUGACUGGUACUAAUUGGCCGAUGACUUACUUGC